rnacentral:rRNA from 1 species
GAUGAACGCUGGCGGCGUGCCUAAUACAUGCAAGUCGAGCGAACAGACGAGGAGCUUGCUCCUCUGACGUUAGCGGCGGACGGGUGAGUAACACGUGGAUAACCUACCUAUAAGACUGGGAUAACUUCGGGAAACCGGAGCUAAUACCGGAUAAUAUAUUGAACCGCAUGGUUCAAUAGUGAAAGACGGUUUUGCUGUCACUUAUAGAUGGAUCCGCGCCGCAUUAGCUAGUUGGUAAGGUAACGGCUUACCAAGGCAACGAUGCGUAGCCGACCUGAGAGGGUGAUCGGCCACACUGGAACUGAGACACGGUCCAGACUCCUACGGGAGGCAGCAGUAGGGAAUCUUCCGCAAUGGGCGAAAGCCUGACGAAGCAACGCCGCGUGAGUGAUGAAGGUCUUCGGAUCGUAAAACUCUGUUAUUAGGGAAGAACAAAUGUGUAAGUAACUAUGCACGUCUUGACGGUACCUAAUCAGAAAGCCACGGCUAACUACGU